rnacentral:rRNA from 1 species
GAGUUUGAUCUUGGCUCAGAGCGAACGCUGGCGGCAGGCUUAACACAUGCAAGUCGAGCGGGCGUAGCAAUACGUCAGCGGCAGACGGGUGAGUAACACGUGGGAACGUACCUUUUGGUUCGGAACAACUGAGGGAAACUUCAGCUAAUACCGGAUAAGCCCUAACGGGGAAAGAUUUAUCGCCGAAAGAUCGGCCCGCGUCUGAUUAGCUAGUUGGUGAGGUAAUGGCUCACCAAGGCGACGAUCAGUAGCUGGUCUGAGAGGAUGAUCAGCCACACUGGGACUGAGACACGGCCCAGACUCCUACGGGAGGCAGCAGUGGGGAAUAUUGGACAAUGGGGGCAACCCUGAUCCAGCCAUGCCGCGUGAGUGAUGAAGGCCCUAGGGUUGUAAAGCUCUUUGUGCGGAAGAUAAUGACGGUACCGCAAGAAUAAGCCCCGACUAACUUCGUGCCAGCCGCCGCCGUAAC